AUACGUAGGGGGCAAGCGUUGUCCGGAAUUAUUGGGCGUAAAGCGCGCGCAGGCGGUUUCUUAAGUCUGGUGUUUAAGUGCGGGGCUCAACCCCGUGUCGCAUCGGAAACUGGGAGACUUGAGUGCAGAAGAGGAGAGCGGAAUUCCACGUGUAGCGGUGAAAUGCGUAGAGAUGUGGAGGAACACCAGUGGCGAAGGCGGCUCUCUGGACUGUAACUGACGCUGAGGCGCGAAAGCGUGGGGAGCAAACAGGAUUAGAUACCCUGGUAGGCCACGCCGUAAACGAUGAGUGCUAGGUGUUGGGGGGGUCCACCCCUCGGUGCCGAAGUUAACACAUUAAGCACUCCGCCUGGGGAGUACGGUCGCAAGACUGAA
rnacentral:rRNA from 1 species